rnacentral:rRNA from 1 species
UACGUAGGGUGCGAGCGUUAAUCGGAAUUACUGGGCGUAAAGCGUGCGCAGGCGGUUGUGCAAGACAGAUGUGAAAUCCCCGGGCUUAACCUGGGAACUGCAUUUGUGACUGCACGGCUAGAGUGUGUCAGAGGGGGGUAGAAUUCCACGUGUAGCAGUGAAAUGCGUAGAGAUGUGGAGGAAUACCGAUGGCGAAGGCAAUCCCCUGGACCUGUACUGACGCUCAUGCACGAAAGCGUGGGGAGCAAACAGG